rnacentral:rRNA from 1 species
GGACAGAAAGACCCUAUGAAGCUUUACUGUAGUUUGGAAUUGGGUUCGGGCUCUUCUUGCGCAGCCUAGGUGGGAGGCUAUGAAGAUAAACUUUUGGGUUUAUUGGAGCCAACAGUGAGAGACCACUCUAGAGGAGCUAGAAUUCUAAUGGCGUUCCUUGAAGCAGGACGCUUGGCAGUUUCAGAUGGGCAGUUUGACUGGGGCGGUCACCUCCUAAAAGGUAACGGAGGUGUGCAAAGGUUCCCUCAGGCUGGACGGAAAUCAGCCGUAGAGUGUAAAGGCAGAAGGGAGCUUGACUGCAAGACCUACAAGUCGAGCAGGGGCGAAAGCCGGCCUUAGUGAUCCGACGGUUCCGAGUGGAAGGGCCGUCGCUAAACGGAUAAAAGUUACUCUAGGGAUAACAGGCUGA